AGUGAACGCUGGCGGUAGGCCUAACACAUGCAAGUCGAACGGCAGCACAGUAAGAGCUUGCUCUUACGGGUGGCGAGUGGCGGACGGGUGAGGAAUACAUCGGAAUCUACUUUUUCGUGGGGGAUAACGUAGGGAAACUUACGCUAAUACCGCAUACGACCUACGGGUGAAAGCAGGGGAUCUUCGGACCUUGCGCGAUUGAAUGAGCCGAUGUCGGAUUAGCUAGUUGGCGGGGUAAAGGCCCACCAAGGCGACGAUCCGUAGCUGGUCUGAGAGGAUGAUCAGCCACACUGGAACUGAGACACGGUCCAGACUCCUACGGGAGGCAGCAGUGGGGAAUAUUGGACAAUGGGCGCAAGCCUGAUCCAGCCAUACCGCGUGGGUGAAGAAGGCCUUCGGGUUGUAAAGCCCUUUUGUGGGGAAAGAAAAGCAGCAGGUUAAUACCCCGCUGUUCUGACGGUACCCAAAGAAUAAGCACCGGCUAACUUCGU
rnacentral:rRNA from 1 species